rnacentral:rRNA from 1 species
UUUGGGAUGAGGGCAGCCUGAUCAGCAAUGCCGCGUGUGUGAAGAAGGCCUUCGGGUUGUAAAGCACUUUUGUCCGGAAAGAAAUCGCACUUACUAAUAUUAGGUGUGGAUGACGGUACCGGAAGAAUAAGGACCGGCUAACUACGUGCCAGCAGCCGCGGUAAUACGUAGGGUCCAAGCGUUAAUCGGAAUUACUGGGCGUAAAGCGUGCGCAGGCGGUUGUGCAAGACCGAUGUGAAAUCCCCGGGCUUAACCUGGGAAUUGCAUUGGUGACUGCACGGCUAGAGUGUGUCAGAGGGGGGUAGAAUUCCACGUGUAGCAGUGAAAUGCGUAGAGAUGUGGAGGAAUACCGAUGGCGAAGGCAGCCCCCUGGGAUAACACUGACGCUCAUGCACGAAAGCGUGGGGAGCAAACAGGAUUAGAUACCCUGGUAGUCCACGCCCUAAACGAUGUCAACUAGUUGUUGGGGAUUCAUUUCCUUAGUAACGUAGCUAACGCGUGAAGUUGACCGCCUGGGGAGUACGGUCGCAAGAUUAAAACUCAAAUGAAUUGACGGA